rnacentral:rRNA from 1 species
AGUGAACGCUGGCGGUAGGCCUAACACAUGCAAGUCGAACGGCAGCACAGUAAGAGCUUGCUCUUACGGGUGGCGAGUGGCGGACGGGUGAGGAGUACAUCGGAAUCUACUUUUUCGUGGGGGAUAACGUAGGGAAACUUACGCUAAUACCGCAUACGACCUACGGGUGAAAGCAGGGGAUCUUCGGACCUUGCGCGAUUGAAUGAGCCGAUGUCGGAUUAGCUAGUUGGCGGGGUAAAGGCCCACCAAGGCGACGAUCCGUAGCUGGUCUGAGAGGAUGAUCAGCCACACUGGAACUGAGACACGGUCCAGACUCCUACGGGAGGCAGCAGUGGGGAAUAUUGGACAAUGGGCGCAAGCCUGAUCCAGCCAUACCGCGUGAGUGAAGAAGGCCUUCGGGUUGUAAAGCCCUUUUGUUAGGAAAGAAAAGCAGCAGGUUAAUACCCCGCUGUUCUGACGGUACCCAAAGAAUAAGCACCGGCUAACUUCGUG